GCAAGGGAACGGAACGGAAGGGGAGGGAAGCGGGAGAGGCGCUGGGUUCCCCGGGGCAGGAAGCGGCGGCCGGGGGCUCCGGGAAGGGCCCGGGUGAGGGGCGCCUCCGGGUCCCGGCAGCCAUGCCCUUGUCUCCCUCCCGGGCACGGAGCCGGGGCCCGGCGGGGCGGCGAAGCGCGGCGAGGGACCGGGAGCGGGAGCGGCAGCACCGAGCCCAGCCUCACAGACUUUCUUACGGCUCCAGCUCUGCGUUGUUUCAGCUCCAGCCCUGCAGUGUUUAGCUCAGCCUCAGCUCUACAUCUUCCUGCUGCCUCCGUGUUCUCACAGCAGCUCUGGGGGCUGUUGAUAAGAGGGGAGUUUGGCCUGGUGCAUGCUGGCAUCCCAUGUUUCAGGGGCAAAUAAAACCAGACCCCCACCUCUGCUUGUUUUCAGGCCCAGAAACACAGCACUCUGGGGACUUUUGGAGCAGCUGAACCCCAGGACUGAGCUGGGCUGUUCAGCCCCAACCACAGAACUUCAUCCUCCUUUGGGGGGCUGGAAACACCCUUGAGGCUGCU